GAUCAUUCUUGUUUUUUUCAAUGGUUUCAAAAUGCUUUAUUUCACUCUUUGUUUAAAUUGUAUACUUUUUUAUGGUGGAUUUUCAU